rnacentral:lncRNA from 1 species
AAACUAAAAUGGAUUUCCAAGUUUUUUUAAAUAGGGAUUAUUUCAUCUUGUAGCAGUAAUGUGUCUUUCAUAUCAUUGAAGUGUUCAAAGCAGAGUGGAGACCAAAUAUUUGUUUAUCUUAGGCAGAGAAAACAUUUUGUCCCCUUAUCCUCAAAUCUACCUUUGAACUGAUGUGCAUUUUGACUGAUAUGGUAGUUAAAUUCUUCUGAGGAAGGUCCCAAGCCCACCUAGUAGGGAAAAGGAAAUUGUUGGGGAGGAGGGAGGGGAGUUUUUUGACACUGGGAAAACUAAAGUUGAAUUUGGGAGAACUUGAGUAAGAUUUAACUGAAGAAAGGAUUGAGUAUAAGGAUGUGAAGAAACAAUGUCAGUCAGUGCUCUUGUGUUCUUAAAAUGAAGAGUUGGUCAAUUUCUACAAUUCUAAGCGAAUCGUGUGGCGAAUUAUUAUCCAUGCUUGGAGAGACAGGACAGCCUGGCCACAAAGUUUAUGUACAGUCAGGAUUUCUUGCCAGAUGGACCCAUUAUUAAUCUUUUUGCAAUGGCCUAGUAGGGAACUUUACACCUUUCUAAGCCAGCGAUGAAAAUUUAGUUUCACAAAGGUUGGCCCUUAGCUAACAACAUCCUGGGGGUUAUGGUUAAACAUUAAAUGCCAGGUGGUAGUGGGUGGACAAAGUCCCUGCCACCAUGUGGUUUUAAUGGAAGACCACAACCUGGAGGAAGGGCAGGGCCUGGUGGUACAGAAGCUGCAUAAGAAUGUUUUUAGAGAGUGGAAUCUGCUGAGGUUGGUUCAGAUGGGUAUAAAAAGGGGCAUUUAUGUGUCCCAGUGACGGGGUCCAUCCUCACGUGUACUGUCCUAACCUGAGCUUUUCAGUCACCAGCAUUCUUUUCUCAAACCCAAAGACACCCCUUCUUCCUCAGAAUAUUUUACUCAUUCAUAACUGAAGGAAAUGGUAAAUAUUUGGAGGUUAGUGAAGAUAAAAGAUGUCAUUUACUUUUUUCCCAUGCCAAACAACUAGCAUCCUAAGGACUGGUGGAUUGGCCCUUCCUUGCAGUGCUUAGCUGGGGAGGACUAUUUAAUCGCAGGUGCUGAUGUCUCAUAGGGCAUGGGACGGGGUAAUAGGGUAGAAGUUGGGGGCAUCAGCUCCCCAACUCCCCCUUCUUUCUCCUUGGUCUGAGACUAAGAUUAGAAGGCCUGAACAUCGGGGUGGUAACCACCCAGAGGAACACUCUUUUGAGGGCAAUCCAAGUGCAGGACAAAUAGCCCUGAGCCCCCACUAUUACACUUCCUAUUCAUACAAAAUGAGUCACACUUUAAAGCUUUGCUAAAUAAGGCAGCUAGGUGGUGCGCUUCAAGUGCCAUAUCUGCACACCGGGUUCAGAUCUACUCUUAUAUACUAGCUGUGUGAGUCCUUUGAGAUGCUCCCUUUGCCCUGUUUGCCUCCAUUUGUAAGAUGGGCUAGAGAAGAAAAUGGCGUCCAAGAUGACCCCAAGUGGGGUCACUGAAAAACAAUGACCAAAGUAGAAAUGUUUGUUCAAUAGAAAGAAAAACCAGAAGGAAUGGGGACAUCACCGUCCAGCUAGAAACCUGGGUUACUCCCAUGGUGUCCAUGGGCAUACUAGUCAAGCACCUCCAACCUAGGGCCCAGGGAAUUUGGGGCUCCAGACUUCAGGCCUUGAUCUCUUCAGGGAACAUUUUGCACCAUAUUUUGCCUGCUGGGCCAAACCACUUCUGUUAGUGGUUCUCCAGCUUCAGGCCUGAGACAGCUUGCGGUUCUUGGAGCACAGGGCCAUCCUUGGCCCUGGCUGGAAAAGUCAUGAUUCCAAAUCUGGCUUUGCAGCUUGAAAAAAGCUACAGAAGGGAGGUCCAGGGCACUCUGGAGGCUCUUUUCCCUCCACUUCUCAAACUCCAUGAUUCUGCUUUCCUACAAUAAGAUCUCACCACUUACAGGAUCCUCCUCCACUUCUCUACUUGGACUGCUUUGCCUCAGGCCCUUGCUGGCUUCUGUCUUAUUCUUUGUUCCAUUCCUGGUUUUUUCUCUUCUCCUAUCUUCCACUUUCACUUGCUGUCUACCUCAUUGACAUAAACCAGGGCUUCUUGAUUUGUGGCAAUUCCACUUUAUUUUGCAUCUUUUGAUGUGAAACUCCACUUUUCUGUCAAAUAUGACCUCCCCAACAGUCCGUACAAUCUUCAGAUUUUUGAUUUAUAAUUUAUCUCUUAAUUCUGAAAAUGGCCAGAUUUACAAAUAAGCUUGUAGACCAGAAUAAGAUCAUUUCCAUAGCACUUUUAAGAUUUUACAAAGCACUCUACCUAUAUGACCUGAGAGAAAGAGAGGAGCACAUAUGGCAGAGAAAUCGAUUUGGCCAGUAAUCAAAACAUGGUCUAAACUGUUGCCUAAAUAGAGCAAGAACAUCAAGGCCUGAAGCCAAUAAACAUUAAGUACCUACUAUGUGCAGGACCAUCUCCAGUCAUCUUGCUUUAUCACUGGCCACUGGAUCCAGAUGGUUCUGGAGGAAAAAGUGAGGCUGGUGACUUUAUGGCCUCACCUUCCCGAUGUCAUGGUCCUCUUCCAGGAAUGAGGGACGAACAACAGCAACCACUGCUGAACCUGGGAAACACAGAAGAAGGCGGCCCUCAAGGGGCUCACACUGCAAAUGACCAUAUGCAAACCAGGCUUAAAUGGGAGAUGACCUCAGACACCAGAAUCCUCUUGGAUUACAGUUGUCCAUCCCUUCUGAUCAACAUUCAGCAAUAUCUCUGAAAUUAUAUUAACCUUUUCAUAUCAAAUCUUAAGUUCACCUCAUCUACUGCCCAUUUUCCUUGUCUCCAAAGCCUUCUCCAGUGAAGUAUUGGGCAUUUUCUUUGCUAUAUAAUAACACAACAUGUGACACCUCCUCCCCCUUCAUUUUCAAUCGUAAUCCUUUUCUCAAACCAGCAAACUUCUAGGCAAAUGUUCUUUCCAGUCUUGAUGAAACUUUCUGUCUCUAGUCAAGAGCUAUUUUAUUUUGCUAUUUUAUACAACGGUGUAGAACUCAAAUCAUAAAGUCAAAAUUCUCUUCAACAGCUCCAUAGUUAGCCAUUUGCUCCCAUAGCUUCAUAAGUUCCAAUACGAGGUGAAAUGCUCUCGAGUGACUUUUGGUUUCCUGCUUAGGAUGUCAUCAUCCCUAGAGUUACAUCCCAAGCUUUUUUAAGAACCACCAGAACUGGGUGAUUGUCAUCAGAUUUAAUAAAUCUUGACAGACUUUCCAUUGAGUCAUAACAGGUAUAUAUUGGGAAGAUGACCCUCUUCCCACUUCCUUAUUAAGGAAACAUCCAUUACCUCUUCUAGGGAUACUAGUAUAUUGCUUCUAUUUUUUUUUUUUUUUAAUAGGACCUCAGAAAUCCCAAACAAUCUAUAUCCCUUUUGCCUCGAUUGGGUGGGCCAGAACUUCCUUUUCUUUCUCUGUAACUCAUUCUUCCCUUCCCAGAGUUACACUUAAGCAUCUAUCUAAAAUGAUCAAGCAUAUGUAAUGGGGAUAAGAUAGAAGCAUUUCCACUAUGAUCAGGGGUGAAGCCAUUAUCACCACUAUUCAAAUGUUACCUUUAGCAGCAAGAGAAGAAAAAGAAAUUGAAGGAAUUAAGAGUAAGAAAUGAGGAAACAACUAUCACUCUUUGUAGAUGAUAUGGUGGUAUAUUUAGAGAAUCAACUACAAAAUAACCAGCAAAGUUGCAGGAUAUAAAAUAAACACAUAAUUUGUUGGCAUUUUUUAUGUUACCAACAAAGCCCAGCAGCAAGAGAGAAAUCCCAUUUAAAAUAACUAGACAAAAAAUUUUCAAGUCUGUAUACCAAGACAAACCCAAGAACACAAUUGGCAAACACUUCAUACAAAUAAAGUCAGAUCUAAACAAUUUUUUAAAAUAUAAAUCGCUGAUAGGUUGAGUUAAUGUAAUAAAACACAAUUCUACCUAAAUUUUGUCAGUAUAAUGUCAACCAGACUGCCAAAAAAUUAUUUUAUAUUGCUAGAAAAAAAUAACAAGGUUCAUCUGGAAGAACAAAAGAUCAAGAAUAUCAAGAUAAUUAAUGGGGAAAAAGUGCAAAGGAAGGUGACCUAACUGUACCAGAUUUUAAAUUAUUAUAAAAUGACAGUCAUCAAAACCAUUUGGUACUGGCUAAGAAAGUGGUGGAUCAGUGGAAUAGGUUAUACACACAAGACACAGUAUGUUGUCAGUAACUAUAAUAAUCUAUUAUUUAAUAAACCCAAAGACUCCAGCUUCUGGGAUAAGAACCCACUACUUGAAAAAAUUGCUGGGAAAACUGCAAAAUAGUAUGGCAGAGUGUAGGGAUAGACCAAUAUCUCACACCAAGAUAAGGUUGAAAUGGAUUCAUGAUUUAGACAUAAAGAGCGGUACUGCAAACAAAUUAGGAGAGCAAGGGAGUUUGCCUGUCAGGUCUUUGGAGAAGGGAGAGAUUCAUGGCCAAACAAGAAAUAGAAAACGUUACGAAGUGCAAAAAUGGAUAAUUUUGAUUACAUUAAAAAGGUUUUGCACAAACAAAACUAAUGCAACCAAGAUUAUAUGAAUGCUAUGGAAUAUUAUUUUUCCAUAAGAAACUAUCAGCAGGAUGAUUCCAGAAAAGCCUGGAAAGACUUAACAUGAACUGAUGCUGGGUGAAGUGGGCAGAACCAGGGUAUCAUUUUACACAGCAACAAGAUUAUAUGGUAAUAACUAUUAUGAUAAGACGACAACUCUCAGCAAUACAGUGAUCCAAAUCAAUUCCAAUAGACUUGAGUUGGAAAAUGCUGUCUGCAUCUAGAGAGAGAACUAUGGAGACUCGAAGCAGAUCAAAGAAUACUAUUUUCACUUUUUUUGUUUGUUUUUUUCUUAAGGUUUUUCCCUUUUGAUCUGAUUUUUCUUUCACAACAUGACUAAUAUAGAAAUAUGUUUAAAAUGAUUGUAAUAUAUAACAUGAGAUUACUCACUGUCUUGGGGAGGAGGGAGGUAAGGAAGGGAGGGAGAAAAAAAGUGGAACUCAAAAUCUUACAAAAAUGAAUGUUGAAAACUAUCUUCAUGUAAUUGAAAAAAAUAAAAUACUAUUAAAAAAUAA